rnacentral:rRNA from 1 species
AACGCUAGCUACAGGCUUAACACAUGCAAGUCGAGGGGCACAUGGUCUUAGCUUGCUAAGGCCGAUGGCGACCGGCGCACGGGUGAGUAACACGUAUCCAACCUGCCGUCUACUCUUGGACAGCCUUCUGAAAGGAAGAUUAAUACAAGAUGGCAUCAUGAGUCCGCAUGUUCACAUGAUUAAAGGUAUUCCGGUAGACGAUGGGGAUGCGUUCCAUUAGAUAGUAGGCGGGGUAACGGCCCACCUAGUCUUCGAUGGAUAGGGGUUCUGAGAGGAAGGUCCCCCACAUUGGAACUGAGACACGGUCCAAACUCCUACGGGAGGCAGCAGUGAGGAAUAUUGGUCAAUGGGCGAGAGCCUGAACCAGCCAAGUAGCGUGAAGGAUGACUGCCCUAUGGGUUGUAAACUUCUUUUAUAAAGGAAUAAAGUCGGGUAUGGAUACCCGUUUGCAUGUACUUUAUGAAUAAGGAUCGGCUAACUCCGUGCCAGCAGCCGCGGUAAUACGGAGGAUCCGAGCGUUAUCCGGAUUUAUUGGGUUUAAAGGGAGCGUAGAUGGAUGUUUAAGUCAGUUGUGAAAGUUUGCGGCUCAACCGUAAAAUUGCAGUUGAUACUGGAUAUCUUGAGUGCAGUUGAGGCAGGCGGAAUUCGUGGUGUAGCGGUGAAAUGCUUAGAUAUCACGAAGAACUCCGAUUG